UACGUAGGGUGCAAGCGUUAAUCGGAAUUACUGGGCGUAAAGCGUGCGCAGGCGGUUUGGAAAGUCAGAGGUGAAAUCCCGGAGCUUAACUUCGGAAUUGCCUUUGAAACUAUCAGACUAGAAUUCGGUAGAGGAUAGUAAGAAUUCCUAGUGUAGAGGUGAAAUUCGUAGAUAUUAGGAGGAACACCAGUGGCGAAGGCGAACUAUCUGGGCCGAUAUUGACGCUGAAGAACGCGAAAGCGUGGGGCAAACAG
rnacentral:rRNA from 1 species